AGAGUUUGAUUAUGGCUCAGAUUGAAGAACGCUGGCGGCAGGCCUAACACAUGCAAGUCGAGCGAGAAAGCAUUUCGGUGUGAGUAGAGCGGCGGACGGGUGAGUAACGCGUAGGAAUUUGCCCAGUAGUGGGGGACAACAUGUGGAAACCUUCUCUAAUACCGCAUACGCCCUAAGGGGGAAAGCAGGGGAUCUUCGGACCUUGCGCUAUUGGAGAAGCCUGCGUCGGAUUAGCUAGUUGGUGGGGUAAAGGCCCACCAAGGCGACGAUCCGUAGCUGGUCUGAGAGUAUGAUCAGCCACACUGGAACUGAGACACGGUCCAGACUCCUACGGGAGGCAGCAGUGGGGAAUAUUGGACAAUGGGCGAAAGCCUGAUCCAGCCAUGCCGCGUGUGUGAAGAAGGCCUUAGGGUUGUAAAGCACUUUCAGUAGGGAGGAAAAGUUAGUCGUUAAUAGCCGCCAGCCCUGACGUUACCUACAGAAGAAGCACCGGCAAACUCCGUGCCAGCAGCCGCGGUAAUAUGGAGGGUGCAAGCGUUAAUCGGAAUUACUGGGCGUAAAGCGCGCGUAGGUGGUUUGAUAAGUUGGAUGUGAAAGCCCCGGGCUCAACCUGGGAACUGCAUCUGAUACUGGAUAGCUAGAGUACAGAAGAGGGUGGUAGAAUUUCAGGUGUAGCGGUGAAAUGCGUAGAGAUCUGAAGGAAUACCAGUGGCGAAGGCGGCCCCCUGGAUUGAUACUGACACUGAGGUGCGAAAGCGUGGGGAGCAAACAGGAUUAGAUACCCUGGUAGUCCACGCCGUAAAAGAUGUCUACUAGCCGUUGGGGAGCUUUGCCUCCUUAGUGGCGCAGCUAACGCAAUAAGUAGACCGCCUGGGGAGUACGGUCGCAAGAUUAAAACUCAAAUAAAUUGACGGGGGCCCGCACAAGCGGUGGAGCAUGUGGUUUAAUUCGAUGCAACGCGAAGAACCUUACCAGGUCUUGACAUCCUGCGAACUUACUAGAGAUAGUUUGGUGCCUUCGGGAGCGCAGUGACAGGUGCUGCAUGGCUGUCGUCAGCUCGUGUUGUGAAAUGUUGGGUUAAGUCCCGUAACGAGCGCAACCCCUAUCCUUAGUUACCAGCGGUUCGGCCGGGAACUCUAGGGAGACUGCCGGUGACAAAACCGGGGCAGGUGGGGACGACGUCAAGUCAUCAUGGCCCUUACGACCUGGGCUACACACGUGCUACAAUGGGAGGUACAGAGGGACGCGAAGCCGCGAGGUGUAUCUAAUCCCAGAAAACCUUUCGUAGUCCGGAUUGGAGUCUGCAACUCGACUCCAUGAAGUCGGAAUCGCUAGUAAUCGCGGAUCAGAAUGCCGCGGUGAAUACGUUCCCGGGCCUUGUACACACCGCCCGUCACACCAUGGGAGUGGAUUGCACCAGAAGUAGUUAGUCUAACCUUCGGGAGGACGAUUACCACGGUGUGGUUCAUGACUGGGGUGAAGUCGUAACAAGGUAGCC
rnacentral:rRNA from 1 species